GCGAUAAUCAGCAAGAAAUUUUCCUGUUAAAUAUUAUGUAAAACGCAAUAAUAAUUUAUUGCUGACUCUCGAAACCAAACAUAUAUUUCAUGUAAAGCAAUAUUUCACCCUAAGUGAUUUGCAUUAAUGAGGUUUGACAGUGUUUCCUUUUUUUUUCAUAUGAAAAAACUUUGAUAUUUUUACGUUUUUCGUUCAUGUGGGAAAUGAUAAACACAAAAGAAUAAAAAAUAUUGUAAUCAACAUAUUUAGGUAUAACUAACUUCGUAACUGCCCUUGGAAAUUCUCUUAAGUUUUACUUUAAAACAGAGAAUUCCUUUUUUGAUUCUAGUUACUGUUUCACCUUUUGCCUGGCAAUGUAUUCAUGUCAUGAUGUCUUAUAGUAAUUGUCGCUUGUCGUAAUGGUAUUUCUUGAUUUUAUUCAUUAAGUAUCAGAAAUAUAUCGUAACUGAUUUUAUAUAUUUACUUAUAAAUUAUAUUCAAAACUUAUUUUUAAUUAGUCUGAGCAAUUUCAAGAAGACUUGUUCCUGACACUGCUGCACCUACUCCAUCACUUACAGCUAAAGAAUGGCUGAAUGGAAAAAACAGAAAUCCUAUUCUGAUAUCCAUGUAUGUAGACUGGGGCUGGAGCCAGAACCAAUUUACCAGUGGUUUAUUACCUGGAUUGUCAGUACUGAAUAAUUGCUGACAGAAACAAUGAAAGGAAGUGUAUAAUCAUUUCAGAAGAUAACAGAGUUGAUUGCAGAGAUCUGAGAAAAAAGAACAAUGAAGAUGCUCAUCAUAACAAGAGAUAAGUUGGAUCUGGAAUGGUUUACUCCAACCUGUGAAGUUAACCUUUGUGGGCAUGCAUCUUCAGCUGUCUUAUUCUUUGCUUUAAGUAUGUCAAUUUCUGUCUUAUUUUUAUUUAUUUGUUUAAUU
rnacentral:lncRNA from 1 species